GCCCCCGUUGUGUAGCGGCCUAGCACGCCGCCCUCUCACGGCGGUAGCACGGGUUCGAAUCCCGUCGGGGGUA
rnacentral:tRNA from 1 species